rnacentral:lncRNA from 1 species
UUGCCGGUCUAAAACACCGACAGCUGGCACGCCAGGUAGGGGAACUCAUCGAGUUUCUCAGAGCGAACUCAAUGGCAAAGAUCAUCAUCAGGCCCGUCUUCAUCAUCGAAGCCGACGUCACCUUCGUCUUUGGAUCCUAGCUUUGCGUCGCUGAAGGCUCGGGAUCGUUCCGACGCCAGAUCAUCGACGUUCAGGAAAAGAAACUAGAAGAUUUGACCAGAAAAAAUCAGGAUUUCAAAGUCAACGAGUUCGAGUUCGACUACGCAUCGGAUUCGACUUCGCCUCGGACUACUCCAACCUUCCGCUCAGGGGUCGGGCACUCCCGACACCAGGACUCAGGGUCGGGCGAGGCGGAGCUUCACUCGGGGUCGGGCGAGGGGGAUCUACUCCUCCAAAGGGUCGGGCUCAGCCGACCCCAGGACUCAGGGUCGGAUUCGCUUCGGAUUCGAUGGCCCUAGUCAGCAUCCAAAUCGGUUUCGACUUCAACGCGAUUCCUGUACGGACUCCGC